AGGGGCAUCAGUUUGGUUUGCUUGCAAACCAAAGCUGGCGACCGGCGCACGGGUGAGUAACACGUAUCCAACCUGCCUCAUACUCGGGGAUAGCCUUUCGAAAGAAAGAUUAAUAUCCGAUAGCAUAUAUUUCCCGCAUGGGUUUUAUAUUAAAGAAAUUCGGUAUGAGAUGGGGAUGCGUUCCAUUAGUUUGUUGGGGGGGUAACGGCCCACCAAGACUACGAUGGAUAGGGGUUCUGAGAGGAAGGUCCCCCACAUUGGAACUGAGACACGGUCCAAACUCCUACGGGAGGCAGCAGUGAGGAAUAUUGGUCAAUGGACGCGAGUCUGAACCAGCCAAGUAGCGUGAAGGAUGACUGCCCUAUGGGUUGUAAACUUCUUUUAUAUGGGAAUAAAGUUGUCCACGUGUGGAUUUUUGUAUGUACCAUAAGAAUAAGGAUCGGCUAACUCCGUGCCAGCAGCCGCGGUAAUACGGAGGAUCCGAGCGUUAUCCGGAUUUAUUGGGUUUAAAGGGAGCGUAGGUGGACAGUUAAGUCAGUUGUGAAAGUUUGCGGCUCAACCGUAAAAUUGCAGUUGAUACUGGCUGUCUUGAGUACAGUAGAGGUGGGCGGAAUUCGUGGUGUAGCGGUGAAAUGCUUAGAUAUCACGAAGAACUCCGAUUGCGAAGGCAGCCUGCUGGACUGUAACUGACGCUGAUGCUCGAAAGUGUGGGUAUCAAA
rnacentral:rRNA from 1 species